UCUGGGAUAGCUCAGUCGGAUAAAGAUGAGACUCUCAAUCUUGGGGACAUGGGUUCGAGACCCACUUUGGGCA